UACGGAGGGUGCGAGCGUUGUCCGGAAUCAUUGGGCGUAAAGGGCGCGUAGGUGGCCCAGUCAGUCUUUGGUGAAAGCGCGGGGCUCAACCCUGCGUCGGCCAGGGAUACUGCUGCGGCUCGAGCACUGUAGAGGCAGGCGGAAUUGACGGUGUAGCGGUGAAAUGCUUAGAUAUCGUCAAGAACACCUAUAGCGAAGGCAGCUUACUAAGCUGUAACUGACGCUGAGGCACGAAAGUGUGGGGAUCAAACAGG
rnacentral:rRNA from 1 species